UACGGAGGGUGCGAGCGUUAAUCGGAAUUACUGGGCGUAAAGCGUGCGUAGGCGGUUUGAUAAGUCGGGUGUGAAAGCCCCGGGCUUAACCUGGGAAUUGCAUUCGAUACUGUCUGACUCGAGUCUGGGAGAGGGAAGCGGAAUUCCGGGUGUAGCGGUGAAAUGCGUAGAUAUCCGGAGGAACAUCAGUGGCGAAAGCGGCUCUCUGGACCACAACUGACGCUGAGGCGCGAAAGCUAGGGGAGCAAACAGG
rnacentral:rRNA from 1 species